GACGUAGGGCGCGAGCGUUGUCCGGAUUUAUUGGGCGUAAAGAGCUCGUAGGCGGCUUGUCGCGUCGGCUGUGAAAUCCCGUGGCUCAACUGCGGGUCUGCAGCCGAUACGGGCAGGCUAGAGUUCGGUAGGGGAGACUGGAAUUCCUGGUGUAGCGGUGAAAUGCGCAGAUAUCAGGAGGAACACCGGUGGCGAAGGCGGGUCUCUGGGCCGAUACUGACGCUGAGGCACGAAAGCUAGGGGAGCAAACAGG
rnacentral:rRNA from 1 species